rnacentral:tRNA from 1 species
UGUUCUGUAGCUUAGUUAGUUAAAGCACCGGACUAGCGGUUACGGAGUCGUGGGUUCGAAUCCCACCAAAACAA